rnacentral:rRNA from 1 species
ACGAACGCUGGCGGCGUGCCUAAUACAUGCAAGUCGAACGGUCUUUCUAUGGAAGCUUGCUUCCACUGAGAAGAUAGUGGCGAACGGGUGAGUAACACGUGGGUAACCUGCCCAUAAGAGGGGGGAUAACAUCCGGAAACGGGUGCUAAUACCGCAUAGUUUUCUUGAUCGCAUGAUUGAGAAAGGAAAGACGGCCUUUGUGCUGUCGCUUAUGGAUGGACCCGCGGCGUAUUAGUUAGUUGGUGAGGUAACGGCUCACCAAGACGAUGAUACGUAGCCGACCUGAGAGGGUGAUCGGCCACAUUGGGACUGAGACACGGCCCAAACUCCUACGGGAGGCAGCAGUAGGGAAUCUUCCGCAAUGGACGAAAGUCUGACGGAGCAACGCCGCGUGAGUGAAGAAAAGGUUUUCGGAUCGUAAAACUCUGUUGUCAGAGAAGAACAAGUUGGAGAGUAACUGCUCCAGCCUUGACGGUAUCUGACCAGAAAGCCACGGCUAACUACGUGCCAGCCGCCGC